rnacentral:rRNA from 1 species
CGCGUAGGCGGCCUGUCAAGUCAGAGGUGAAAGGCCCGGGCUCAACCCGGGAACUGCCUUUGAAACUGGCAAGCUAGAGUCCGAGAGAGGAUGGCGGAAUUCCCAGUGUAGAGGUGAAAUUCGUAGAUAUUGGGAAGAACACCGGUGGCGAAGGCGGCCAUCUGGCUCGGUACUGACGCUGAGGCGCGAAAGCGUGGGGAAGCAAACA